UACGUAGGGUGCGAGCGUUGUCCGGAAUUACUGGGCGUAAAGAGCUCGUAGGUGGUUUGUCGCGUUGUUCGUGAAAACUCACAGCUUAACUGUGGGCGUGCGGGCGAUACGGGCAGACUGGAGUACUGCAGGGGAGACUGGAAUUCCUGGUGUAGCGGUGGAAUGCGCAGAUAUCUGGAGGAACACCGGUGGCGAAGGCGGCAUCCUGGAGCAACACUGACGCUGAGGAGCGAAAGCCAGGGGAGCAAACGGG
rnacentral:rRNA from 1 species